UACGUAGGUGGCAAGCGUUGUCCGGAAUUAUUGGGCGUAAAGCGCGCGCAGGCGGUCCUUUAAGUCUGAUGUGAAAGCCCACGGCUCAACCGUGGAGGGUCAUUGGAAACUGGGGGACUUGAGUACAGAAGAGAAGAGUGGAAUUCCACGUGUAGCGGUGAAAUGCGUAGAGAUGUGGAGGAACACCCGUGGCGAAGGCGGCUCUCUGGGACGGUACUGACGCUGAGACGCGAAAGCGUGGGGAGCGAACAGG
rnacentral:rRNA from 1 species